AUGUUUCCCGAAAUGUUUGGGUACGAGAACACAUUAUUUGGGCCAAAGGGAAAGCCCACAAGGUUUUUGGAAAGCGCAAAAGGAAGUUUUGAGGAGUCCAGGGGCCAGACGCCAGGGUCCCUGGCGUCUGGGUCCAAACGCCGGGAACCCUGGCGUCUGGCCCUGGAGUCCGAGAAGGACUCUUGCCUUUCGGGUGAAACCGACUUUGUGGAGGCUUUUACUCCAAGUUUCGACCCCAAGGCUCAACAUAUAAAUAAAGGGGCAGGGCUAGCACCAAAGACACAUCAAGAAACACCAAGCCGUGUGCCGGCAACCCCUUCCCCUCUAGUUUAUCCUCCGUCAUAG
rnacentral:rRNA from 1 species